rnacentral:tRNA from 1 species
GGGCGGGUGGCGGAAUUGGCAUACGCGUAACGUUGAGGUCGUUAUGGAGUAAAAUCCGUGCAGGUUCAAGUCCUGUCCCGCCCA